AAGUUAACCAGAUAGCUCAGGAGACCCAUUGGAGUCAAUAGAAACGUGUUAGCAUUUUAGCUAAUUAGCAUGCUAAGCUAAUUAGCAUAAAUCAACCAGCACAGGCACGGUCAACUUCAGAGCUGUACACGUCGGGAACGGGAGUGAAUAUCAAAAAUCUGUUCAGUCAUUUCUGUCAGGCCCGGUCUGAAGUUCAUCUGAUAAAAUUUUGAACAAAAUUGAACAAGAUUUCAGGGAGGAGUAGCGAAAAAACUGUAUUUCAUUCCAUUCAAUAUGGCGGACAGACGCCAUAUUGGAAAAUGGCAAAUGAGACAUCAUCUGAUUUGGCAUAACCCACGGAAUCAAAUGACAUAAAAAUAUCAAAAAUCGAUCAAAAUUUACAGUAGUUAUAAGGGGUUUUGCAAGAAUCAUUAUAUCUCUUGAACACUAGGUGGCGCUGUCUUCUAACUUCCGGGGUACCUCAGGCACAUGUUGUUGAUGAUGCCUAUCGAUUUUUGUGAAGAUAUGUACAGUAGAUCAAAAGAUAUAGCAAUUUUUGACAAAUUUCAAAAUGGCGGACGGGUGGUCCUGGUGGUCUCGACAAAAUUGACAUCCACAGAUCCGGAAUGAUCUAAAUAAUCCAUAGACAUCAAGAAAAUAAUUUUCUGAUGAACUGUUCAGAAGUUAUAAGCAAAAAAGUGCAUUUUUGGUAUCUCAACACCCAUAGGUGGCGCUGUUCCCAAAUUUGGCGUGGACCCCCAGAUCAUGGUGUAGAUGAAGUGUACCAAGUUUGGUAUCGAUUGAUCAAAGUUUGGCCAAGAUACAGCAUCUCAACCGAUUUUAGGUCAGCCUCAUUAAGUUCACAAUUGAAUAACUUUUGAACAAAGACGAAAAUCAAAAAUCUGUUCAGUCAUUUCUGUGCGGCUCAGUCCAAAGAUCAUCUGAGACAAAUUUCAGAAGAAUUGGACCAAUUUUGAAGGAGGAGUAGUGUUUAGACUGAAUACUGUACUUUUCAAAAUGGCCGCUACUGUAAUGGGCGGAGUCUUAAUGUAAGAUAUGGAAUGGAAUCUCCAUGAAGAGACAAAAUAGAUGUACUAAGUUUUAUUUUCAUAGAAUUAGUGGUUCAAGAGUUAUUAACGUUUGAAUGUUGAAUUUUUGAACUGGUGGUGGCGCUGUAGAGUUGGUCCUAGAGACCCCAAAGUUGGUCAGAUCACUAAUAAUGGUCAUCUCUACAAGUGUGCCAAAUUUCAUCAUUUUCCCAUGUUCCCUUCAUAGGGCUGCCAUAGACCCAAUGGGACGAAAAGAAGAAUAAUAAUAAUAAAUAUAGCUGCAAGCAGCGAUACCGGGGCCAAGCCCUGAAGGGCUGUAGCCAGAGCAACGAGCGGGACGAAGCAAAAUGGCCAAAACAGAACUUCCAUCGGACCGACGUUACCCACCCCGGAUUCGAUCCCACGACCUCUCGGGUUUGGGACGAGUGCCUUAGCGAAGUGCGCCACAUUAGUUGACACACAGUUCGCAUGGCACAGAAGAGAGGUUAAGGUGUGAGAAUUAAAUCUCAAAAGCCCAAAUCAGCAUUUUAGCCAGAUUAGCAUGCUACGCUAAAAAAUGCUAACGUUGCUCAAAGUUAACCAGAUAGCUCAGGAGACCCAUUAGAGUCAAUAGAAACGUGUUAGCAUUUUAGCUAAUUAGCAUGCUAAGCUAACUAGCAUAAAUCAACCAGCACAGGCACGGUCAACUUCAGAGCUGUACAUAUCGGGAACGUGAGUGAAUAUCAAAAAUCUGUUCAGUCAUUUCUGUCAGGCCCGGUCUGAAGUUCAUCUGAUAAAAUUUUGAACAAAAUUGAACAAGAUUUCAGGGAGGAGUAGCGAAAAAACUGUAUUUAAAUCCAUUCAAUAUGGCGGACAGACGCCAUAUUGGAAAAUGGCAAAUGAGACAUCAUCUGAUUCGGCAUAACCCACGGAAUCAAAUGACAUAAAAAUAUCAAAAAUCGAUCAAAAUUUACAGUAGUUAUAAGGGGUUUUGCAAGAAUCGUUAUAUCUCUUGAACACUAGGUGGCGCUGUCUUCUAACUUCCGGGGUACCUCAGGCACAUGUUGUUGAUGAUGCCUAUCGAUUUUUGUGAAGAUAUGUACAAUAGAUCAAAAGAUAUAGCAAUUUAUGACAAAAUUCAAAAUGGCGGACGGGUGGUCCUGGUGGUCUCGACAAAAUUGACAUCCACAGAUCCGGAAUGAUCUAAAGAAUCCAUAGACAUCAAGAUCAUAAUUUUCUGAUGAAUUGUUCAGAAGUUAUAAGCAAAAAAGUGCAUUUUUGGUAUCUCGACACCCAUAGGUGGCGCUAUUCCCAAAUUCGGCAUGGACCCCCAGAUCAUGGUGUAGAUGAAGUGUACCGAGUUUGGUUUCGAUUGAUCAAAGUUUGGCCGAGAUACAGCAUCUCAACCGAUUUUAGGUCAGCCUCAUUAAGUUCACAAUUGAAUAACUUUUGAACAAAGACGAAAAUCAAAAAUCUGUUCAGUCAUUUCUGUGCGGCUCAGUCCAAAGAACAUCUGAGCCAAAUUUCAGAAGAAUUGGACCAAUUUUGAAGGAGGAGUAGUGUUUAGACUGAAUACUGUACUUUUCAAAAUGGCCGCCACUGUAAUGGGCGGAGUCUUAAUGUAAGAUAUGGAAUGGAAUCUCCAUGAAGAGACAAAAUAGAUGUACUAAGUUUUAUUUUCAUAGAAUUAGUGGUUCAAGAGUUAUUAACGUUUGAAUGUUGAUUUUUUGAGCUGGUGGUGGCGCUAUAGAGUUUGGCCUAGAGACCCCAAAGUUGGUCAGAUCACUUAUAAUGACCAGUUCUAAAAGUGUGCCAAAUUUUAUCAUUUUCCCAUGUUCCCUUCAUAGGGCUGCCAUAGACUCCCAUUGGACGAGAAGAAGAAGAAGAAGAAGAAGAAGAAGAAUAAUAAUAAUAAUAAAACAUACAGAUACAAUAGGGGCUACAGCCCUCUGGGCUUGGCCCCUAAUAAAACAUACAGAUACAAUAGGGGCUACAGCCCUCUGGGCUUGGCCCCUAAUAAAACAUACAGAUACAAUAGGGGCUACAGCCCUCUGGGCUUGGCCCCUAAUAAUAAUAAAUAUAGCUGCAAGCAGCGAUACCGGGGCCAAGCCCUGAAGGGCUGUAGCCAGAGCAACGAGCGGGACGAAGCAAAAUGGCCAAAACAGAACUUCCAUCGGACCGACGUUACCCACCCCGGAUUCGAUCCCACGACCUCUCGGGUUUGGGACGAGUGCCUUAGCGAAGUGCGCCACAUUAGUUGACACACAGUUCGCAUGGCACAGAAGAGAGGUUAAGGUGUGAGAAUUAAAUCUCAAAAGCCCAAAUCAGCAUUUUAGCCAGAUUAGCAUGCUACGCUAAAAAAUGCUAACGUUGCUCAAAGUUAACCAGAUAGCUCAGGAGACCCAUUAGAGUCAAUAGAAACGUGUUAGCAUUUUAGCUAAUUAGCAUGCUAAGCUAACUAGCAUAAAUCAACCAGCACAGGCACGGUCAACUUCAGAGCUGUACAUAUCGGGAACGUGAGUGAAUAUCAAAAAUCUGUUCAGUCAUUUCUGUCAGGCCCGGUCUGAAGUUCAUCUGAUAAAAUUUUGAACAAAAUUGAACAAGAUUUCAGGGAGGAGUAGCGAAAAAACUGUAUUUAAAUCCAUUCAAUAUGGCGGACAGACGCCAUAUUGGAAAAUGGCAAAUGAGACAUCAUCUGAUUCGGCAUAACCCACGGAAUCAAAUGACAUAAAAAUAUCAAAAAUCGAUCAAAAUUUACAGUAGUUAUAAGGGGUUUUGCAAGAAUCGUUAUAUCUCUUGAACACUAGGUGGCGCUGUCUUCUAACUUCCGGGGUACCUCAGGCACAUGUUGUUGAUGAUGCCUAUCGAUUUUUGUGAAGAUAUGUACAAUAGAUCAAAAGAUAUAGCAAUUUAUGACAAAAUUCAAAAUGGCGGACGGGUGGUCCUGGUGGUCUCGACAAAAUUGACAUCCACAGAUCCGGAAUGAUCUAAAGAAUCCAUAGACAUCAAGAUCAUAAUUUUCUGAUGAAUUGUUCAGAAGUUAUAAGCAAAAAAGUGCAUUUUUGGUAUCUCGACACCCAUAGGUGGCGCUAUUCCCAAAUUCGGCAUGGACCCCCAGAUCAUGGUGUAGAUGAAGUGUACCGAGUUUGGUUUCGAUUGAUCAAAGUUUGGCCGAGAUACAGCAUCUCAACCGAUUUUAGGUCAGCCUCAGUAAGUUCACAGCAUCAUAACUUUUUUUUUCACUAGUGUUCAAAAAAUUCUGUUCAGUCAUUUCUGUGCGGCUCAGUCCAAAGAACAUCUGAGCCAAAUUUCAGAAGAAUUGGACCAAUUUUGAAGGAGGAGUAGUGUUUAGACUGAAUACUGUACUUUUCAAAAUGGCCGCCACUGUAAUGGGCGGAGUCUUAAUGUAAGAUAUGGAAUGGAAUCUCCAUGAAGAGACAAAAUAGAUGUACUAAGUUUUAUUUUCAUAGAAUUAGUGGUUCAAGAGUUAUUAACGUUUGAAUGUUGAAUUUUUGGACUGCUGGUGGCGCUAUAGAGUUUGGCCUAGAGACCCCAAAGUUGGUCAGAUCUCUAAUAAUGACCAGUUCUACAAGUGUGCCAAAUUUCAUCAUUUUCCCAUGUUUCCUUCAUAGGGCUGCCAUAGACUCCCAUUGGAGAGGAAGAAGAAGAAGAAUAAUAAUAAUAAUAAUAAAACAUACAGAUACAAUAGGGGCUACAGCCCUCUGGGCUUGGCCCCUAAUAAUUAAAGCUGCAAGCAGCCUUUCUGGGGCCAAGCCCUUAUUGCUCUUUGGCUUUUAAGGUUUUUUCAAGCAACUUUUUCAGCACUUUUUACAGAACAGAUAGAUUCAGAAUUACAGAUAAGGUGAAAUCAGAAGGUCUGAUGAGAACGAACGCAGAAUGAAGUUACAAAAACACACUUAUUUUUGAUCCCAUUUUAAGAAACUUUAGUACAGCUCUUAACCAUGUAAUAAAGGAAUUGAAAUGACAACUUUAUACCCAAUUUUAAAUUUUUCCCAUACAGGUUUCGAACCCACAACCUCACAGGUUCAGAACCAACGCCUUAGCUAAGUGCGCCACAUUAGUUGACACACAAUUUACAUGGCACAGAAGAGAGGUCAAGGUGUGAGAAUGAUCUCUCACAAGCCCGAAGUAGCAUUUUAGCCAGAUUAGCAUGCUACGCUAAAAAAUGCUAACAUUGUCAAAGUUAACCAGAUUGCUCAAGAGACCCAUUAGAGUGAAUAGAAAAGUGUUAGCAUUUUAGUUAAUUAGCAUGCUAAGCUAAUUAGCAUAAAUCAACAAACACAGGCACGGUCAACUUCGGAGCUGUACAUCUCUGGAACGGGAACGAAUAUCAAAAAUCCGUUCUGUCAUUUCUGUCAGGCCCGUUCUGAAGUUCAUCUGAUAAAACUUUUAACAAAAUUGAACAAGAUUUCAGGGAGGAGUAGUGAAAAAACUGUAUUUCAUUCCAUUCAAUAUGGCGGACAGACGCCAUGUUGGAAAAUGACAAUUGAGACAUCCUCAGAAUCGGCAUAACCAAAGGAAUAAAAUGACAUAAAAAUAACAAAAAUCGAUCAACAUUUACAGUAGUUAUAAGGGGUUUUGCAAGAAUCGUUAUAUCUCUUGAACACUAGGUGGCGAUGUCUUCCAACUUCCGGGGUACUUCCGGCACAUGGUGUUG